rnacentral:lncRNA from 1 species
CUGAUUUUGAAAUUCAUUUGGAAAAGUUACAGUACUGAAAGCUUUGUAAGAUUUUUCUGGGUUAAAUGAAACAGAAUAUAGUAAGAAAUAGGAUCAAUGUCAAUGAGAAUUUCACAAUAAUAAAGUGAGACUUCAAAUAAUUAUCAUUAUGUGGCAUUGGACCAAGUGCUGGUUCUUUGGGGGAAGAACAGUUAUAUUUCUACCUGUUGAAGCCAUAAUAAACCUAGUAAUAAUGAACAUUGGUGAAUAGAUUUUACUUAACGAUACAUAACAAAGCUUUGAAAUUUAGCACACACAUAUCUGCUUUAGUUUAAUAACUUUAUAUUGUUCUAUUGUGUAACUGAAUCAUUAUUUAAAUGGACCUGGUGGCUAGGCAUUAAGUUGUCUCCAUAUUACAAGCAA